rnacentral:rRNA from 1 species
GACGAACGCUGGCGGCGUGCUUAACACAUGCAAGUCGAACGAAGAGCGAUGGAAGCUUGCUUCUAUCAAUCUUAGUGGCGAACGGGUGAGUAACGCGUAAUCAACCUGCCCUUCAGAGGGGGACAACAGUUGGAAACGACUGCUAAUACCGCAUACGAUCUAAUCUCGGCAUCGAGGAUAGAUGAAAGGUGGCCUCUACAUGUAAGCUAUCACUGAAGGAGGGGAUUGCGUCUGAUUAGCUAGUUGGAGGGGUAACGGCCCACCAAGGCGAUGAUCAGUAGCCGGUCCGAGAGGAUGAACGGCCACAUUGGGACUGAGACACGGCCCAGACUCCUACGGGAGGCAGCAGUGGGGAAUCUUCCGCAAUGGACGAAAGUCUGACGGAGCAACGCCGCGUGAGUGAUGACGGCCUUCGGGUUGUAAAGCUCUGUUAAUCGGGACGAAAGGCCUUCUUGCGAAUAGUGAGAAGGAUUGACGGUACCGGAAUAGAAAGCCACGGCUAACUACGUG